rnacentral:hammerhead_ribozyme from 1 species
GUCCAGCUGAUGAGUCCCAUAUUGGGCGAAACGCGCCUUGUCCUGGAU